rnacentral:rRNA from 1 species
CACGUAACCAACCUGCCCCAAAGAUCGGGAUAACCACUGGAAACGGUGGGUAAUACCGAAUGGCCCAUUCGAAAGGCAUCUUUUGAAUGGUAAACGGUAGCUUCGGCUUCUGUUUUGGGAGGGGUUGCGGACUAUUAGCUUGUUGGUGAGGUAACGGCUCACCAAGGCGAUGAUGGUUAGCGGGUCUGAGAGGAUGAUCCGUCACACUGGGACUGAGACACUGCCCAGACUCCUACGGGAGGCUGCAGUCGAGAAUCUUCCGCAAUGGGCGAAAGCCUGACGGAGCGACACCGCGUGUAG